rnacentral:rRNA from 1 species
AACGAACGCUGGCGGCAGGCUUAACACAUGCAAGUCGAGCGAGACCUUCGGGUCUAGCGGCGGACGGGGGAGUACCGCGGGGGAACGUGCCCUUGUCUACGGAAUAGCCCCGGGAAACAGGGAGUCAUACCGUAUACGCCCUUUGGGGGAAAGAUUUAUCGGGGCAGGAUCGGCCCGCGUUGGUUUCGGUAGUUGGUGGGGUAAUGGCCCACCAAGGCGACGAUCCAUAGCUGGUUGGAGAGGAGGAUCAGCCACACUUGGACUGAGACACGGCCCAGACUCCUACGCGAGGGAGCAGUGUGGAAUCCUAGGCACGGGGGGCUACCCCGAUCUAGCCAUGCCGCGUGAGUGAUGAAUGCCUUAGGGUUGUAAAGCUCUUUCAGCUGGGAAGAUAAUGACGGUACCAGCAGAAGAAGCCCCGGCUAACUCCGUG